rnacentral:rRNA from 1 species
UACGUAGGGUCCGAGCGUUGUCCGGAAUUAUUGGGCGUAAAGAGCUCGUAGGCGGUUUGUCGCGUCUGCUGUGAAAUCCCGAGGCUCAACCUCGGGUCUGCAGUGGGUACGGGCAGACUGGAGUGCGGUAGGGGAGAAUGGAAUUCCUGGUGUAGCGGUGGAAUGCGCAGAUAUCAGGAAGAACACCCGUGGCUAAGGCGGUUCUCUAGUACGGUACUGACGCUGAGACGCGAAAGCGUGGGGAGCGAACAGG